AAACCAAAAUAUGUCCACGAUAGUUUUAUCCACAUCUCAGCCUCGUGGAUUAUCUGAAUCAACGACCAGCAAAAAGAACCCCUCUGCUCUUUCAUCUUCUCCAUAGAUUUACAUAGUGAAUUUAGAGCUAAUACUAAAUCUGAUUAAUCGAUCAAUUAACACGUCUUAAUCCAAAAAUUGUUGAGCUUUUGUUGUAUAAAUUGUGAUUUAUUAGGUAUUAUACCUAUUUAUAUUUUAACUUAUAUACAUAUGGUUAGUGUUUGAUUUGAGAUUUGUAAUUCAAAUCACGAAAAAAGAAAAAGGAUGGGAUUCAUAAUGAAAUUUGCGGAGAACUUGAUAUUGAAAUUAAUGGAGGAUCCGAAGGAGAGGAAUAGGAAGUUUAGGGAGCAUGUUUAUGCAACGGAAAGGACCAAGAAAACAUUGGAGAUGUGGAGCUAUCCAAUUCGUCCCUAUGAUUUCUGGACAUUUGAUAGGCAUAAUGCUUAGUUAUUUUGGGACCCUCAAAUCAGCCAAGUUCCCGGCCGUCGAGAUCCCGAUGAAGACCUCCUUAAUGAUAGUUCCUCCUCCUAAGCUUUGUGUAGGCUGAAGAGGUUGCUGAAGAAGAUGGAAGUUUUUCUACACCAAUGGCUGAUGUAAUAUCUAGUUUCUGAACAUGAAUAUCAUAGCUGGCUAGGAGAUCGAAUAAUUUGUAUGAAUAUUGGUACUUCAUCUACGCUGAUGAAACGAAACCUGCUGUUGAGUUUAUGGUUUUGAACUCCCAAAUUUGAAGAACCGGAUGUCUCUCUAUGCUGUAUGUCUAAGACAGCGACGUAGAAAGCCAAUGAUGUAAAGAGGACAGGUUGCGUGAUGUAGAAAUUGCUCAAAAUACCUGUCAUUAUAUCAUUUAUCGGAAAUUAUUAUA